UACGUAGGGUGCAAGCGUUGUCCGGAAUUAUUGGGCGUAAAGAGCUCGUAGGCGGUUUGUCGCGUCGGCUGUGAAAACUCGGGGCUCAACCCCGGAGCCUGCAGUCGAUACGGGCAGACUAGAGUGCUGUAGGGGAGACUGGAAUUCUUGGUGUAGCGGUGAAAUGCGUAGAUAUCAAGAGGAACACCUGAGGUGAAGACGGGUUGCUGGGCUGACACUGACGCUGAGGCGCGAAAGCUAGGGGAGCGAACGGG
rnacentral:rRNA from 1 species